rnacentral:rRNA from 1 species
GACGUAGGGCGCGAGCGUUGUCCGGAUUUAUUGGGCGUAAAGAGCUCGUAGGCGGCUUGUCGCGUCGAAUGUGAAAACUCGGGGCUCAACUCCGAGCUUGCAUUCGAUACGGGCAGGCUAGAGUUCGGUAGGGAGACUGGAAUUCCUGGUGUAGCGGUGAAAUGCGCAGAUAUCAGGAGGAACACCGGUGGCGAAGGCGGGUCUCUGGGCCGAUACUGACGCUGAGGAGCGAAAGCGUGGGGAGCGAACAGG